UGCCAGCAGCCGCGGUAAUACGUAGGUGGCAAGCGUUGUCCGGAUUUACUGGGCGUAAAGAGCGCGCAGGCGGUCAGGUAAGUCGAAUGUGAAAGCCCCGGGCUCAACUCGGGAAGGUCAUUCGAUACUGCUUGACUUGAAGAUGGGAGAGGGAAGCGGAAUUUCAGGUGUAGUGGUGAAAUGCGUAGAUAUCUGAAGGAACACCAGUGGCGAAGGCGGCUUUCUGGCCCAUUCUUGACGCUGAGGCGCGAAAGCUAGGGGAGCGAACGGGAUUAGAUA
rnacentral:rRNA from 1 species